GAUGAACGCUGGCGGCGUGCUUAACACAUGCAAGUCGAACGGAAAGGCCCAAGCUUGCUUGGGUACUCGAGUGGCGAACGGGUGAGUAACACGUGGGUGAUCUGCCCUGCACUUCGGGAUAAGCCUGGGAAACUGGGUCUAAUACCGGAUAGGACGAUGGUUUGGAUGCCAUUGUGGAAAGUUUUUUCGGUGUGGUAUGAGCUCGCGGCCUAUCAGCUUGUUGGUGGGGUAAUGGCCUACCAAGGCGUCGACGGGUAGCCGGCCUGAGAGGGUGUACGGCCACAUUGGGACUGAGAUACGGCCCAGACUCCUACGGGAGGCAGCAGUGGGGAAUAUUGCACAAUGGGCGCAAGCCUGAUGCAGCGACGCCGCGUGGGGGAUGACGGCCUUCGGGUUGUAAACUCCUUUCGCUAGGGACGAAGCGUUUUGUGACGGUACCUGGAGAAGAAGCACCGGCUAACUACGUG
rnacentral:rRNA from 1 species